ACACUGCGCCCUUCACACAUACAAUACGUCCAAACAGAUACAUAUAUAUAUAUAUAUAUAUAUAUAUAUAUAUAUAUAUAUAUAUAUAUAUAUAUAUUUAUUUGGACGUAUUGUAUGUGUGAAGGGCACAGUGU